rnacentral:rRNA from 1 species
CGACGUAGGUAACCUGCCUGGUAGCGGGGGAUAACUAUUGGAAACGAUAGCUAAUACCGCAUAAUAGCAGUUGUUGCAUGACAACUGUUUGAAAGGUGCAAUUGCACCACUACCAGAUGGACCUGCGUUGUAUUAGCUAGUUGGUGGGGUAACGGCUCACCAAGGCGACGAUACAUAGCCGACCUGAGAGGGUGAUCGGCCACACUGGGACUGAGACACGGCCCAG